GACGAACGCUGGCGGCGUGCCUAAUACAUGCAAGUCGAACGCUGAAGGAGGAGCUUGCUUCUCUGGAUGAGUUGCGAACGGGUGAGUAACGCGUAGGUAACCUGCCUGGUAGCGGGGGAUAACUAUUGGAAACGAUAGCUAAUACCGCAUAAUAGCAGUUGUUGCAUGACAACUGUUUGAAAGGUGCAAUUGCACCACUACCAGAUGGACCUGCGUUGUAUUAGCUAGUUGGUGGGGUAACGGCUCACCAAGGCGACGAUACAUAGCCGACCUGAGAGGGUGAUCGGCCACACUGGGACUGAGACACGGCCCAGACUCCUACGGGAGGCAGCAGUAGGGAAUCUUCGGCAAUGGACGGAAGUCUGACCGAGCAACGCCGCGUGAGUGAAGAAGGUUGUCGGAUCGUAAAGCUCUGUUGUAAGAGAAGAACGAGUGUGAGAGUGGAAAGUUCACACUGUGACGGUAUCUUACCAGAAAGGGACGGCUAACUACGUG
rnacentral:rRNA from 1 species